rnacentral:rRNA from 1 species
AUUGAACGCUGGCGGCAUGCUUUACACAUGCAAGUCGAACGGUAACAGGUUAAGCUGACGAGUGGCGAACGGGUGAGUAAUGCAUCGGAACGUGCCCGAUCGUGGGGGAUAACGCAGCGAAAGCUGCGCUAAUACCGCAUACGAUCUGAGGAUGAAAGCGGGGGACCGUAAGGCCUCGCGCGAUCGGAGCGGCCGAUGUCAGAUUAGGUAGUUGGUGGGGUAAAGGCCCACCAAGCCGACGAUCUGUAGCUGGUCUGAGAGGACGACCAGCCACACUGGGACAGAGACGCGGCCCAGACUCCUACGGGGGGCAGCAGAGGGGAAUUUUGGACAAGGGGCGAAAGCCUGAUCCAGCAAUGCCGCGUGCAGGAAGAAGGCCUUCGGGUUGUAAACUGCUUUUGUACGGAGCGAAAAGGUCCUUUCUAAUACAAGGGGCUCAUGACGGUACCGUAAGAAUAAGCACCGGCUAACUACGUGCCAGCAGCCGCCGUAA